rnacentral:rRNA from 1 species
ACUCCUACGGGAGGCAGCAGUGGGGAAUCUUGGACAAUGGGCGCAAGCCUGAUCCAGCCAUGCCGCGUGAGCGAUGAAGGCCUUAGGGUCGUAAAACUCUUUCGCCAGGGAUGAUAAUGACAGUACCUGGUAAAGAAACCCCGGCUAACUCCGUGCCAGCAGCCGCGGUAAUACGGAGGGGGUUAGCGUUGUUCGGAAUUACUGGGGCGUAAAGCGCGCGUAGGCGGACUAGUUAGUCAGAGGUGAAAUCCCGGGGGCUCAACCCCGGAACUGCCUUUGAUACUGCUAGUCUUGAGUUCGAGAGAGGUGAGUGGAAUUCCGAGUGUAGAGGUGAAAUUCGUAGAUAUUCGGAGGAACACCAGUGGCGAAGGCGGCUCACUGGCUCGAUACUGACGCUGAGGUGCGAAAGUGUGGGGAGCAAACAGGAUUAGAUACCCUGGUAGGAUAGCC